AAGCCCAGCUCGCACACCAGCUGGAAGUGGGGAUCAGCACUGCGCGUGACGGUGGGAGGCGGGGAGACGGACAGUCACCCCCAGAGACACAAGGUCCCUGUCGGGUCACCUGGGGAUGCGUCCGCCGGGCCUGAAUCGAACACGCCCAUGCUCGAGAUGGGGACCGCCCAGGCAGGGCUGGAUUCCUCGAAAAGGGCCGCCACGCCCCAGUCCCCCCAGCCACGUGAACCCCACAAAGUGCUGAGUAACGGUGACCGGGAAGUAUCUCGGUGUCUCUGAGUGGUUCUUGACCACCUCAUUCAUCAUAGCCAAACGUGCUCGAUGAUACUGCACAUUCCUGGACCACACCCAGACAGACAUACAGAAUCAGUCUUUUGAGAAUUUCUGGUAAUGAUGCAGAAGUAGGCUUGGAAACCAAGCAGAAGACAGGACAGGAAGGUAUUUAGCAGCCUGGAAGAUGCCUGAUAAACCCAGUCUGAUGAGGGCUCUCCUGCCUUCACCACUCAACACUCUGCUGCUACCAGAAACUGGAUGCCAUUGGAUAAGGGUUGUCAGACAAAAUACAAGGACACAAUUGGAGAAACCGGUUAUUUUACCAAAGCUUUGGAAUGGUGUACUUUCCCUUAAGGAAUCAAAUUUGACGUAUGGAAACAAUAAAAGUCCCUUGGGAAAACUGGCCUCAUACCUUGUCUACACAGUUUCUGUACAGGAUUCCUGAUCUGUGAGAGAUGGCCGUGCACAGCUAGAUCCUGGAACUCUAAUGAUGGCUACAUCUUCUAGUAUUUACCAAGUCCAGUGCUAGGCACUUUAGAUACAAUAUCACAAAUUUGCCUGACAGUUGUUUAAAGAUAGGUGGUGUUCCCGUUUUACAGAGAAGGAAACUAAGCUUCAAGGUGGUUAUGGUACAUUGCUACUAAUAAGAGGUAGACCUGGGGCUCAACCUGCAGUUGUCUGACUCUAUAGAUGGCAAAAACUUACUGAAGAUGCUCUUUUGGGAGAUGGAUCAAGCACUGUGUUUUAUGAAGUUGAACAGAGAGAAGUUGGGAACGUGAUUCUCCAGGCACCAACAUCUUCCUCAAAAGUAUUGUUUACCUUAUUGUCCCCACUUGGUCCUUGAAGACACAGAGUGUGUGACCCUUGCUUCCAAUCUUGUCCUCUUUCUAGCAUACCACGGUAUCACCUACUUGAUAUUAUUUUAAUUCCUGUACCUACUUGAAGGAGCAUGCUGUUGAAAUGACUUUUAUAAUCUCAGCAAGAGUCCUACAGUUCAUAAACAUAAGGGCACAAGCUUCCUCCCACUUUAUGUGAUAGCUCAGUCUAGCAGAUGGGUUUUCCUGAAUUAUUCAUUUGUGACUAAUUUGUUUAGUAGCAUCUAUGUACUUAUAUCCCAUCUUUCUUAUGAGUGAACCUAAGUGCUUUGGGAAACUAUUUUAUUCUAUAAUCAAAGAAUGAAAGAUGGAGUCAACUUUUGAUGGUUGGCUUAUAUAUAAGCAGUUGCCCCAAACUUGCUAAUUCUUGGUUUCUCUUUCCCUACUCCAUAGACAUACACCAACCAUGAGUUGUGUAUCCAAAUCUCAUCUUGAAUUGUAGCUCCCAUAAUUCCCAUGUGUCAUGGGAGGGACCCAGUAGGAGGUAAUUGAAUCAUGGGGGCGGGUCUUUCCUGUGCUAUUCUCAUGAUAGUGAAUAAGUCUUAUGAGAGUCUGAUGGUUUUAUAAAGGGGAGUUCCCCUGCAUGCACCCUCUUGCCUGCCAUCAUAUAAGACAUCCCUUUGGUUCUCCUUUGCCUUCCACCAUGAUUUUGAGGCCUCCCCGGUCAUGUGGAGCUGUGAAUCAAUUAAACCUCUUUCCUGUGUAAAUUA